rnacentral:lncRNA from 1 species
UGAGAGAUGGGGUCUAUUCCCAACUUUAUAACUGCACUUCUUUUCCAACCCUGAGAUGCUUAUGCUUCAGCGGCAGCCUGGAAGUCAUCCUUAUAGAGAUGGAGAUGUCCCGCAUGUUCCCAGAUGUGCUGCCAGCUGGCUUCUCUGCCUCGUUCUAUUCCUCCAGCUCAGGGGCAAUAUGUUUAUGCUUCAUUAUAAAUUACCCCCAGAAUCUUCCAUAAUGACUUCUUACAUUUUCUUCUUGUAAAGCAGGGGUCUUGAGUCUUAAAUAAGUUUUUAAUCAGAUUCAUAUUUCAGUACCACAAGGAAGCAUGC